GAAAUGCGAUAAGUAAUGUGAAUUGCAGAAUUCCGUGAAUCAUCGAAUCUUUGAACGCACAUUGCGCCCUCUGGCAUUCCGGGGGGCAUGCCUGUCCGAGCGUCAUUACGCACCCUCAAGCCCGGCUUGUGUGAUGGGCCCUGGCGUCUCGUUCGCGAGACGGGCCCGAAAGGCAGCGGCGGCGUCGACCCGAUGAGCUCGAGCGUAUGGGGACUUUUGUCACACGUUUGCGGUGCGGACCGGCGCCUGCUUGACUUUUCUGAUUAUCCAGGUUGACCUCGGAUCAGGUAGGGAUACCCGCUGAACUUAAGC
rnacentral:misc_RNA from 1 species